UGAUAAACCGGAGGAAGGUGUGGAUGACGUCAAGUCAUCAUGCCCCUUACAUCCUGGGCUACACACGUACUACAAUGCUACGGACAAAGGGUUGCAAGCUCGCGAGAGUUAGCUAAUCCCAUAAACCGUGGCUCAGUUCAGAUCGUAGGCUGCAACUCGCCUACGUGAAGGAGGAAUCGCUAGUAAUCGCAGGUCAGCAUACUGCGGUGAAUACGUUCCCGGGCCUUGUACACACCGCCCGUCACACCAUGGAAGUUGGCCAUGCCCGAAGUCGUUACUCCAACCCUUGUGGAGGAGGACGCCGAAGGUGGGGCUGAUGACUGGGGUGAAGUCGUAACAAGGUAGCCGUACCGGAAGGUGCGGCUGGAUCACCUCCUAACAGGGAGACACAACUGAUCGUGAUGUCUGAGCGCCGAACAAGCGUAAGUUUGCGAAGCACAUUUGUCUCAGGCCACGGUCCUGUCAUCUCGAAGGUCGAUCGGUACCUCAAGGUGAGCCAUCAAAGCCAAAGCAGCGGCAACGGUUUCGCAAGAGAUCGGAAGCGAUGCAGAGGAUGUUGUGAUGGACUCGUUUUCAGUUCCUAAACUUUGUCUAGGUCACCCCACCAAGGGUUUUGCCAGACAUCCACCGUGUCCGAUCCCGCCAGGGAGAGGAAGCAAUGGGGUGAUUGGAGGAACCACUGUCAGAGUGAUUGUUCCUGGGCCAUUAGCUCAGGUGGUUAGAGCGCACCCCUGAUAAGGGUGAGGUCCCUGGUUCAAGUCCAGGAUGGCCCAUUCGUGUUUGGGGGUUUAGCUCAGUUGGUAGAGCGCCUGCUUUGCAAGCAGGAUGUCAGCGGUUCGAGUCCGCUAACCUCCAUCCAACCAGGUUAAGACCACAACAUGAAGCUGCAUCAGGAGGAAUUCUGAUGGGUGAAGUGACCGGACAUGUUCAGCUGAGGACUCCAGCCUCCUUUCAUUCCCAAUGAAUGCGUCCACCAAAAAGGUGAAUGCGAUUCAAAGAUGGUUGAAAGGAAGCUGGACUCGCUGAUCACCCACUCACAUGUUCAAGUGAUCUUGUUCGUGUGGUUGGGUGAGUCGGUGUAGCCAGCAAAGAACCUUGACAACUGCAUAGGUGAGUCUGGAAAAGAAAGCAUCUCAUGGAUGCCCAGACGGACGUGGACGGAUCCUGGUAACCCCAGGUGAAGGAGACGGCUGACUGGGAGAUUCUUGAGUUUAGAGCCGAGAGCUUCCAGCGUCUUUUCGCUCCGCCGAGGAGGGAAGAGUCAGAUUCUGCGUUUCAAACCGCUUGAGUUUGAGUGUGAGGGUAUACCG
rnacentral:rRNA from 1 species